GCUAGUAUGAAAUAACUUGAAACAAGUUUCUGUCCCUACCCACGAGAAGGCCUUGGUCUGUUAGGCCAAGCAGCUCGGUACAUAAGAUAUUCCCUGUGGUCUUUUUAACACUGUAGUGGAUUCCAUGCUGCUAGAGAUGGUUGAUAUGUGAGGUGUAAUUGUGGAUGGUUAAUGUAUACCUGAGAUUUGAAUUCCUCUCUCAUUUUGCCUACUGACUGUGUUCAUCCGCACCAACUGCGAAGGGCCAACUAGUAUCCCGUGCAGUGUAGUGAGCAAGCGAGAUAUCACCACACUCUGCAGAGAGAAUGUGUCACAGUCUGGUACCUGCAGUGACAUGUCCAGAGCAUCUGGACCGUCAAUUUCACACUGGUGGACAUACAAGAACAAAGCGCGAGACACACCAGCGUGAUGCACCAAGCCUCAUUAAGGAUGUAGACUUUCUGAUGGGAAAACAUCCUCCAAGACUUAUGGCGCUGCUGUUCUUAAGUCUGAUAGCUGGGCGUCAUUUUACGGCGUGCAGAGCUGGUGUGCUGCUUGCUUGCCCCAGUAUGUCUCCCCAGAUCCCAAAGCCAGGAGUUUCUUCACUUCACCAUCUGUGAAGCAUCUCCCUUUUGGUACAUUUAGGUCCAAAGAGACAAUAAAGCACUUUAGCAAUUGUUGCCUAUUGUGCAAGUAAUUAAUGACAGACAAUAACUAGACUCAUAGCUGGAUUUCUUUUAGCAAGUUCUUAACCUGGACUUCCAGUCUUAGAACCCUACCUACGGGUGACUUGAGUGAAUUUAUGUCCCUUGUGAACCACCCAGACCAAGCUAUCAACAUUCCUGAUCUUUAUCACAGUAGCUUCCUAUCUGGUCC
ensembl:lncRNA